rnacentral:rRNA from 1 species
AGCCUUGAUGUGUAGGAUAGGUGGGAGGCUUUGAAGCGUGGACGCCAGUCUGCGUGGAGCCGACCUUGAAAUACCACCCUUUAAUGUUUGAUGUUCUAACGUGGACCCGUAAUCCGGGUUGCGGACAGUGUCUGGUGGGUAGUUUGACUGGGGCGGUCUCCUCCUAAAGAGUAACGGAGGAGCACGAAGGUUGGCUAAUCCUGGUCGGACAUCAGGAGGUUAGUGCAAUGGCAUAAGCCAGCUUGACUGCGAGCGUGACGGCGCGAGCAGGUGCGAAAGCAGGUCAUAGUGAUCCGGUGGUUCUGAAUGGAAGGGCCAUCGCUCAACGGAUAAAAGGUACUCCGGGGAUAACAGGCUGAUACCGCCCAAGAGUUCAUAUCGACGGCGGUGUUUGGCACCUCGAUGUCGGCUCAUCACAUCCUGGGGCUGAAGUAGGUCCCAAGGGUAUGGCUGUUCGCCAUUUAAAGUGGUACGCGAGCUGGGUUUAGAACGUCGUGAGACAGUUCGGUCCCUAUCUGCCGUGGGCGCUGGAGAACUGAGGGGGGCUGCUCCUAGUACGAGAGGACCGGAGUGGACGCAUCACUGGUGUUCGGGUUGUCAUGCCAAUGGCACUGCCCGGUAGCUAAAUGCGGAAGAGAUAAGUGCUGAAAGCAUCUAAGCACGAAACUUGCCCCGAGAUGAGUUCUCCCUGAGACUUAGAGUCUCCUGAAGGAACGUUGAAGACGACGACGUUGAUAGGCCGGGUGUGUAAGCGCAGCGAUGCGUUGAGCUAACCGGUACUAAUGAACCGUGAGGCUUAACCUUAC